AUUGAACGCUGGCGGCAUGCUUUACACAUGCAAGUCGAACGGCAGCAUGGGCUUCGGCCUGAUGGCGAGUGGCGGACGGGUGAGUAAUGCAUCGGAACGUACCCAGUCAUGGGGGAUAACUACGCGAAAGCGUGGCUAAUACCGCAUACGCCCUGAGGGGGAAAGCGGGGGAUCUUUCGGGACCUCGCGUGAUUGGAGCGGCUGAUGUCGGAUUAGCUAGUUGGUGGGGUAAAGGCUCACCAAGGCGACGAUCCGUAGCUGGUCUGAGAGGAUGAUCAGCCACACUGGGACUGAGACACGGCCCAGACUCCUACGGGAGGCAGCAGUGGGGAAUUUUGGACAAUGGGGGCAACCCUGAUCCAGCCAUGCCGCGUGAGUGAAGAAGGCCUUCGGGUUGUAAAGCUCUUUCAGUUGGGAAGAAACGGGGUUCUCUAACAUAGGGCUCUAAUGACGGUACCGA
rnacentral:rRNA from 1 species